UAGGGAAUCUUCCACAAUGGACGCAAGUCUGAUGGAGCAACGCCGCGUGAGUGAAGAAGGGUUUCGGCCCGUAAAGCUCUGUUGUUAAAGAAGAACGUGGGUAAGAGUAACUGUUUACCCAGUGACGGUAUUUAACCAGAAAGCCACGGCUAACUACGUGUCAG
rnacentral:rRNA from 1 species